rnacentral:rRNA from 1 species
AGCAAAUAGAUACCCCGGUAGUCCACGCCGUAAACGAUGCCGACUAGGUGUCGGGGGUAUCGACCCCUCGCGCCGCCGCUAAACGCAUGAAGUCGGCCGCCUGGGGACGUACGGCCGCAAGGCUAAACUACAAAGGAAUUGACGGGGCCCGGCACAAGCAGCGGAGCGUGUGGUUUAAUUCGAUGCAACGCGCAGAACCUUACCGAGGCUUGACAUGCAGGUGGUAGGAACCGGAAACGGAACCGACCCGCGAGGGAGCCUGCACAGAUGCUGCAUGGCUGUCGUCAGCUCGUGCCGUGAGGUGUUGGGUUAAGUCCCGCAACGAGCGCAACCCUGCUGCCAGUUACUCUGUCUGGCGGGACCGCCGGUCUAAACCGGAGGAAGGUGGGAUGACGUCAAGUCAGCACGGCUCUUACGCCUCGGGCGACACACACGCUACAAUGGCCGGUACAACGGGCGGCGAACCCGCGAGGGCAGCGAAUCCCACAAAGCCGGCCUCAGUUCGGAUCGCAGGCUGCAACUCGCCUGCGUG